AUGCCCUUGCUGCACACAGAGAAGCUCCAGUGCAGCCGGCUGACAUGCCUUUUGUUUCUUUGUUUGCUUUGCUUUUUUCUUAAGACUCACAGCUUUAUAAAAUCUUUUGAAUUAUCAUAUAAACGCUUAAGGAGAUUAAAAAACUUGAAAAACAAAGGUGGGAGAGAGACUGGUGGAGACAGCUGGAGUCCUGGUGCCAAGAAAUGUGGAGAGCACCACUCUUCUUCUAAGGCCAUGCUUGAAUGGAGUGCUGGCUUUGAGAACACACACCGAGGAUGAAGAAGGCCAAGAUUUCUGUCCAGUACACAUUGGCUGCCACAAACCUUUGGGGACAACCUCUGGUUUCAAAUAUGAACACAUGUGGAUGGAGAAGGUUUUCCUGGGAUUUAACCUUGGGAUGAAAAGUGUCGAUAUUUUAAGAAAUGUACUCAUGCAAAAAAAAAAAAACUAUUCUUUUUGUCUCUCUUUUUAAAAUGAAAAUUUGUCCCUUCAAGUCAGAAAUAGAUUUUCUUGAAAUAAAGCAAACAUCCUCUAAAAGGCUUCCA
rnacentral:lncRNA from 1 species